rnacentral:rRNA from 1 species
AUUGAACGCUGGCGGCAUGCCUUACACAUGCAAGUCGAACGGCAGCACGGGGCAACCUGGUGGCGAGUGGCGAACGGGUGAGUAAUGCAUCGGAACGUACCUUUCAGUGGGGGAUAACGUAGCGAAAGUUACGCUAAUACCGCAUAUUCUGUGAGCAGGAAAGCAGGGGAUCGCAAGACCUUGCGCUGAUUGAGCGGCCGAUGUCAGAUUAGCUAGUUGGUGAGGUAAAGGCUCACCAAGGCGGCGAUCUGUAGCGGGUCUGAGAGGAUGAUCCGCCACAAUGGAACUGAGACACGGUCCAGACUCCUACGGGAGGCAGCAGUGGGGAAUUUUGGACAAUGGGGGCAACCCUGAUCCAGCCAUGCCGCGUGAGUGAAGAAGGCCUUCGGGUUGUAAAGCUCUUUCGGCCGGGAAGAAAUCGCACGGGCUAAUACCCUGUGUGGAUGACGGUACCGGAAUAAGAAGCACCGGCUAACUACGUGCCAGCAGCCGCAGUAACAC